ACGGCUCAGUAACACGUGGAUAACCUGCCCAAGGGUCUGGGAUAACCCCGGGAAACUGGGGAUAAUACCGGAUGGAUCACUAGUGCUGGAAUGCUUGGUGGUCGAAAGGUAACGCCUUUGGAUGGGUCUGCGGCGGAUUAGGUUGACGCCGGUGUAACGUACCGGCGUGCCUGUAAUCCGUACGGGUUGUGGGAGCAAGAGCCCGGAGAUGGAUUCUGAGACACGAAUCCAGGCCCUACGGGGCGCAGCAGGCGCGAAAACUCUACAAUGCAGGCAACUGCGAUAGGGGGACAUCGAGUGGCAUCCACCUUGGGUGCCUGUCCAACCGUCUAAAAAACGGUUGUUAGCAAGGGCCGGGUAAGACCGGUGCCAGCCGCCGCGGUAAUACCGGCGGCUCGAGUGGUGGCCGAUAUUAUUGAGUCUAAAGGGUCCGUAGCCGGCUUUGCAAGUCCCCUGGGAAAUCCAGCGGCUUAACCGUUGGGCUUUCAUGGGAUACUACAUUGCUUGGGACUGGGAGAGGUAGGAGGUACUCGGGGGGUAGGGGUGAAAUCCUGUAAUCCUCCGGGGACCACCGGUGGCGAAGGCGUCCUACCAGAACAGGUCCGACGGUGAGGGACGAAAGCUAGGGGCACGAACCGGAUUAGAUACCCGGGUAGUCCUAGCCGUAAACGAUGCCCGCUAGGUGUCACGACGGUCGUGGAUCGUCGUGGUGCCGUAGGGAAGCAGCGAAGCGGGCCACUUGGGAAGUACGGCCGCAAGGCUGAACUUAAAGGAAUUGGCGGGGGAGCAC
rnacentral:rRNA from 1 species